GUUUCCAGUAACGGCUGGCGGCUGGUACCUGAACCAAAGACUGCGCCGCCGGGGCCGGGUCUCGCCCCGCCCCCAGCCGAGGAGGGGCGGGACGCAGUGUGGGGCAAUCCUGGGCCAAAGGCCGAGGGCGCCGGCCUGGGACAAGCCGCUGGGAUCCAGACCUGGUCUUGAGGAGUGACUAUGGACUGUGUCCCGGAACUGCUGCAGGUUCCAGCGAGUUUCAGCUUCCUCUUGCUCGCAGUCAUGUCAUUGGAUCAGACGAACAAGGCCGACAUCUUCGACGAAAUUUCUGCACCUCCGGCCAACAAGUGCACACCGCAAAGCAGACAUCCCAGGCCCCAUCCUGGGCUACCUGCUCUGCCGAUGACUUUAGGAAGGCCCUGUAAAUGAAAGGCAUGGGUGUGCGAGGUCUUACUCCAUGGGCUAUCUGAAACCUAGAGGACCCGAUGCUUCUCCUGGGUAGGUCCCUAACCAAGGUGGGCCUAGGCCAGGAGACAUUGAUCAAGGAGCAAACCUGGGGUGGAGUGAACCUGGGGUCAAGCUACUACUUGCUCCAUUUCUUUUUUUUGUUUUUCUAUAUGUAUUUUAUUGUGAAAAUACCGUACAGAGGGGUUACAAUUCUGACACCACAAGUCCUUACCAUUCAUUGCCUGCUGUGUUUGAAAACUCUUCUGAUGAGGUGAGGAGUCAAAUGAGAUGUUGCCAUAAGUGAAUAUAGAAAUGUCUCUAAGAAAAUUCCAGUUUCUGGCUAGUUUCUUGAAAUUACUUAAGAUGAUGGGUCAGAUGCUCUGUGAAGUGUUUUCUGUAUGAAAUAAAAUCUUUCCAUUAUCCUUCCUA